GUGAUUCCAGUUCUUCAUAUAGCUGCUGCCUCACAGAAUUAGGAUGAGUAGUGGGAAGAACUGAGUGUGGGAAUGAAGCAGAUGGGACAGAGUCCAAGAACCCAAAAGCAAGGAGGAAGUGACAGUACCGGGGCAUGAAUAGCCUUGGAGGGUUCCUGAUGCCAGCCUGCAGUUCCUGGAGCCCCAGCACCUCGUCCACAACAUUUGCGAAUGGACAAGGCAGGAAUGAGGAAGAAAGGUUUCAUCUUCAGAGAAGAGGUAUCAGUAGUGUAGGGGUGAAGGUGAUGGAAGAAACGGUUGUGGAACGAAAGGAAUAGAAAGCUCCCGGCAAGGAUGGAGGCAGCACUGUUUGUUGGACAACUGAAUUGGCCCAGGUGGCCCCUGCACUCUCAGUCUGACGUUGAUGCCAGUGGGAAUGCAUUUGACCUCUGUCUACAGCGUGGCCAGUAUCAGCUGCACUGGCUGUUUCAAGAACUGCCACAUCACACCUCUGCUCCACUCUGUAUCCUCAGCCAACCCCGACUGGACCCUCUGAACAGGCGGGAUCUCUGUACCCAGUAUCUUUACAUCUCAAGGUUUCUAAAGAGAGUUUUUCCUCCAUGUGGAAUCCAGCUUCUCCUUGUCCUCUCUAUCUCAUUUGGUUUCCACUUUGACCUCUUUAAGUCCAGCCUCAUGCUGCCUUCUACGAAGCUCUCCCUGACGCCCCUCCACCAGAAACUCAUGGGGAAACUCCCGUUUUGCUUGGGAGCCCCCAUUGCAGCCUUUCCCACAGAAGCCUG
rnacentral:lncRNA from 1 species